GUAGUGCCUCUCCAAAACACUGCAGGAGAAGCCAGGCCUUGAGUCUGCACCUGCAUGUUCCUCGAACUCCUCAGAGUCCUGUGGACAAUGACUGAGGAGACAAACCAUGCAGGAAACAAUG
rnacentral:snoRNA from 1 species